rnacentral:sRNA from 1 species
GUCGUGAGAUGUUGGGUUAAGUCCCGCAACGAGCGCAACCCUUGCCCUUAGUUACCAGCGGAUAAUGCCGGGGACUCUAGGGGGACUGCCGGUGCCAAACCGGAGGAAGGUGGGGACGACGUCAAGUCAUCAUGGUCCUUACGUCUGGGGCUACACACGUGCUACAAUGGCAGGUACAGAGGGCUGCGAAAGGGCAACCUGGAGCCAAUCCCUAAAGCCUGCCUCAGUUCGGAUUGUCGUCUGCAACUCGACGGCAUGAAGCUGGAGUCGCUAGUAAUCGUGGAUCAGCGACGCCACGGUGAAUACGUUCCCGGGCCUUGUACACACCGCCCGUCACGCCAUGGAAGCUGUGAGCGCCCAAAGUCGGUGUCGGAACCCGCAAGGGACCAAGCCGCCUAAGGCGAGCGCAGUGACUGGGGCGAAGUCGUAACAAGGUAGCCGUAGGGGAACCUGCGGCUGGAUCACCUCCUUUCCGGAGCGACGAGUAGAACGGUUCUUCAGGGACACCCUUUACGGGGCUACCUGUCGAACGGCAGUUCGAAAGUCCCGGAUUUGUCGCCCGCUUUGCACAUUCCUCGAUCUCGAUUCGAUUGUUGAACCGCUUCAGCUUCGGCUGUGCGGUUCAUACGCUAUUUGACAACGGAAUUGGGAAGUGAUCGUGGGUACUACAGUUGGUGCGCAGCCUUCGGGUUGUGUGUCAGCUGCUAGGACAAAGAACCUCAGUGAGGCGCUAGCAAACUGAAGCUGCCGGAUUCGUCUGGUGGAUUCAUUCGCGAACGCAACACAAAAGUUUUGAAUAAGCGCGUGCUUUGCUUGAAACGUUGGGAAAGGGUCAAGCGAAAGAAAGUAUGUGGGGGAUGCCUGGGCACAUAGAGGCGAUGAAGGCCGCGGUAAGCUGCGAUAAGCUCGGGGGAGCGGCACACACGCAUUGAUCCCGAGAUGG